rnacentral:lncRNA from 1 species
CACCGUCAACCACAACGGCACCCGACAGUCCGGAACAGUCUGUAAAUUACUGUAAAAAUACACUCGGCAUCUCAGCACGAGCGUAAAUGCAUUCUACACUAUUCUGGGUAUCCACCGCUCACAAACUGCGGCGAUACAAACAAACUACAGCUCCUAUAGUUAAAUCUGAUAGUUUUAACAUAUGACGGUGUAGAAUCGCUAGUUUUUUCCUAAGUCAAUUUCAACUCCAAC